rnacentral:rRNA from 1 species
GCUAAACGCGAAGAACCUUACCAGGCCUUGACAUGCACUGGACCGACGCUGAAAGGCGUCUUUCCCGCAAGGGACCGGUGCACAGGUGCUGCAUGGCUGUCGUCAGCUCGUGUCGUGAGAUGUUGCGUUAAGUCGCGCAACGAGCGCAACCCCUGUCCAUAGUUGCCACCAUUAAGUUGGGCACUCUAGGGAGACAAACCCUCUUUGAGGGUGGGAAGGUGGGGAUGACGUCAAGUCAGGAUGGCCCUUACGGCCUGGGCUGCACACGUGCUACAAUGCCCGGUACAGAGGGAUGCAAUACCGCGAGGUGGAGCAAAUCCUCAAAACCGGGCCCAGUUCAGAUUGUAGUCUGCAACUCGACUACAUGAAGUUGGAAUCGCUAGUAAUGGCGUAUCAGCUACGACGCCGUGAAUACGUUCCCGGGUCUUGUACACACCG